rnacentral:tRNA from 1 species
UCCCCGGUAGCUCAGCGGUAGAGCAAGUGACUGUUAAUCACUGGGUCGGCGGUUCGAAUCCGUCCCGGGGAG